GGCUCGGUAGCUUAGUUGGAAAAGCACUUGUAUAGCAAAUAAAGGUCGUGAGUUCAAAUCUCACCUGAGCUG
rfam:Aedes albopictus isolate Foshan contig140350, whole genome shotgun sequence.